UUUGUUUGCAGUCUCGGUCUGUGUUUUUCUCGCUCUUUUCCAUCUCUCUCUCUUUUUCUGUUCUUCGCACAAUCAGAGAGAGAGAGAGAGAGAGAGAGAAAGUAACCAAACAAGAAAAAGGAAAAGAAGAUUGUCAGUGAAGAAACUUGCUUAGCUUCUGGUUUUCUUCACGCACACACUCGCUCUCUCCUUCCGCUUCGGCUAAUAAUUCGCUCCUUUUCGCUUGCAUUUGCACUCUCAAACCCUAAUCCUCCUUUCCAUUUGAGCUCGAGUGUGUUAUUCUUCUGAGGAUUGUGAAAGCGAUUCGUCAAGAUUUCACGGUCUAUUUUCAGAUCGGUCGUGCUGCCCGUCCACAAAAGUUGGCAGUUUAGUUUUCACUUCACGCCAUCAUUGUUAGGUUUAUCCCAAGGUUUGAGUGCAGUGAUGGCGGCAGACACUGUGGCAAA